GAUGAACGCUGGCGGCGUGCCUAAUACAUGCAAGUCGAGCGAACAGAUGAGGAGCUUGCUCCUCUGACGUUAGCGGCGGACGGGUGAGUAACACGUGGAUAACCUACCUAUAAGACUGGGAUAACUUCGGGAAACUGGAGCUAAUACCGGAUAAUAUAUUGAACCGCAUGGUUCAAUAGUGAAAGACGGUUUUGCUGUCACUUAUAGAUGGAUCCGCGCCGCAUUAGCUAGUUGGUAAGGUAACGGCUUACCAAGGCAACGAUGCGUAGCCGACCUGAGAGGGUGAUCGGCCACACUGGAACUGAGACGCGGUCCAGACUCCUACGGGAGGCAGCGGUAGGGAAUCGUCCGCAGUGGGCGAAAGCCUGACGGAGCAACGCCGCGUGAGUGAUGAAGGUCUUCGGAUCGUAAAACUCUGUUAUUAGGGAAGAACAAAUGUGUAAGUAACUAUGCACGUCUUGGCGGUACCUAAUCAGAAAGCCACGGCUAACUACGUG
rnacentral:rRNA from 1 species